UGUUGUAAUCAUACCAACAUUAAUGCACCAGAUCCCAUGAUAACUUUGCAAUUAAGAGCUCUUGGGCUAGAGUAGUACUAGGUGUUGAUGAUUGCAACUA
rfam:Picea glauca, whole genome shotgun sequence.